rnacentral:pre_miRNA from 1 species
GCAGCACGUUGUAGCAUCGCUGGGGUUUCAAAGCGGCAUUUGCCUUGGUGACUUCCAGAAACACGCAAUGCCCUUGGAAAUCCCAAAUGUGCACAACGCAU